UGGGGAAUAUUGGACAAUGGGCGAAAGCCUGAUCCAGCCAUGCCGCGUGUGUGAAGAAGGUCUUCGGAUUGUAAAGCACUUUAAGUUGGGAGGAAGGGCAUUUACCUAAUACGUAAGUGUUUUGACGUUACCGACAGAAUAAGCACCGGCUAACUCUGUGCCAGCAGCCGCGGUAAUACAGAGGGUGCAAGCGUUAAUCGGAAUUACUGGGCGUAAAGCGCGCGUAGGUGGUUUGUUAAGUUGGAUGUGAAAUCCCCGGGCUCAACCUGGGAACUGCAUUCAAAACUGACAAGCUAGAGUAUGGUAGAGGGUGGUGGAAUUUCCUGUGUAGCGGUGAAAUGCGUAGAUAUAGGAAGGAACACCAGUGGCGAAGGCGACCACCUGGACUGAUACUGACACUGAGGUGCGAAAGCGUGGGGAGCAAACAGGAUUAGAUACCCCCGUAGUCCCUGAGCGGGCUGGCAAGGCGCAU
rnacentral:rRNA from 1 species